rnacentral:rRNA from 1 species
AUUGAACGCUGGCGGCAGGCUUAACACAUGCAAGUCGAACGAGUGGCGGACGGGUGAGUAAUGCUUGGGAAUCUAGCUUAUGGAGGGGGAUAACUACGGGAAACUGUAGCUAAUACCGCGUACCAUAGGAUGAGCCCAAGUGGGAUUAGGUAGUUGGUGAGGUAAAGGCUCACCAAGCCGACGAUCUCUAGCUGGUCUGAGAGGAUGACCGGCCACAAUGGGACGGAGAGACGGCCCAGACUCCUACGAGAGGCAGCAGUGGGAAAUAUGGCACAAUGGGGGCAACCUGACGCAGCAAUGCCGCGUGAAUGAAGAAGGCCUUCGGGUUGUAAAGUUCUUUCAGUAGCGAGGCGUUAACUAAAGAAGAAGCACCGGCUAACUCCGUGCCAGCAGCCGCGGUAAUUC